rnacentral:rRNA from 1 species
AAUCGAACCCGGAGAUAGCUGGUUCUCCUCGAAAUAGCUUUAGGGCUAGCCUCGAUUUAGUCUUAUGGAGGUAGAGCACUGAAUUUCCGCGGGGGCGUCAAAGCUUACCAAAGAAUAUCAAACUCCGAAUGCCAUGUAGAUGAUGAUCGGGAGUCAGACUGCACGAGAUAAGUUGGGCAGUCAAAAGGGAAAGAGCCCAGACCUGCAGCUAAGGUCCCAAAAUGUGUGUUAAGUGGAAAAGGAUGUGGGAUUUCAAAGACAACCAGGAUGUUGGCUUAGAAGCAGCCAUCCAUUCAAAGAGUGCGUAACAGCUCACUGGUCGAGUGGACAUGCGCCGACAAUACACGGGGCUAAGCUGGACACCGAAGCGGCGGGAUUUUAAUUCAUUAGAAUCGGUAGGGGAGCUUCCCAUGGGCGGAGAAGCCGGAGGGCGACCGACGGUGGAGCGCAUGGGAGUGAGAAUGCUGGCAUGAGUAGCGAGAGACGAGAGAGUAACUCGUCCGCCGUGAACCCGAGGUUUCCUGGGCAAGGCUAAUCCUCCCAGGGUCAGUCGGGGGCUAAGGCGAGGCCGGUAGGCGUAGCCGACGCGCAGCAGGCAGACAUUCCUGCACCGCGCACGCGGCGCUACGACCGACGGGGCGACGGAUGGGGGUGGCUCGGCGGGGUUCUGGACGUCCCCGUGAUGGAGCGCGGCCCGCGGACCAGGGAAAUCCGGUCCGCACGAAGGGCGAGGCUCCGGACGAAGCGACUGAGCGAAGCGAGUGAGCCCGAGGUCCCUAGAAAAACCCCUAGGCAGGCGCGUGCGCGCCCGUACCGCAAACCGACACAGGUGGGUGGGUAGAACAUACCGAGGCGAUCGGGUCAACCAUGGUCAAGGAACUCGGCACAAUGGCCCCGUAACUUCGGGAGAAGGGGUGCCCGCGCGUACGUGAACGGACUUGCUCCGGGAGCGGAGGCGGGCCGCAGUGGAGAGGCCCAAGCGACUGUUUACCAAAAACACAGGACUCUGCAGAAGCCGCAAGGCGACGUAUAGGGUCUGACGCCUGCCCGGUGCCGGAAGGUCACGCGGAGGAGUUAGCCGAUUCGGCGAAGCCCCGAAGCCAAGCCCCGGUAAACGGCGGCCGUAACUAUAACGGUCCUAAGGUAGCGAAAUUCCUUGUCGGGUAAGUUCCGACCUGCACGAAAGGCGCAACGACUUGGGCGCUGUCUCGACCAUGGACCCGGUGAAAUUGCACUGGUCGUGAAGAUGCGACUUACCCGCGGAAGGACGGAAAGACCCCGUGAACCUUCACUGCAGCUUGGCAUUGGCCGCUGGUCCCGCGUGUAGAGGAUAGGCAGGAGGCAUCGAUCCGGAGGCGCCAGCCCCCGGGGAGCCGCCCUUGGAAUACUGCCCUCGCGCGACCGGCGUCCUAACCCGAGGCCGUCAACCGGCUCGGGGACCGUGCCAGGCGGGCAGUUUGACUGGGGCGGUCGCCUCCUAAAGGGUAACGGAGGCGCGCGAAGGUCCGCUCGGGACGGUCGGCAACCGUCCUUUUGAAUGCAAGAGUACAAGCGGGCUUGACUGCGAGGCCCACAAGCCGAGCAGGUGCGAAAGCAGGCUCUAGUGAUCCGGCGGCCCCGAGUGGGUGGGCCGUCGCUCAACGGAUAAAAGGUACUCCGGGGAUAACAGGCUGAUCUUGCCCAAGAGUCCACAUCGACGGCAAGGUUUGGCACCUCGAUGUCGGCUCAUCGCAUCCUGGGGCUGGAGCAGGUCCCAAGGGUACGGCUGUUCGCCGUUUAAAGCGGUACGCGAGCUGGGUUCAGAACGUCGUGAGACAGUUCGGUCCCUAUCCUCCGUGGGCGCAGGAGAAUCGAUGGAGGCUGCCCCCAGUACGAGAGGACCGGGGUGGACGCACCUCCGGUGAACCGGUUGUCGACCAACGGCACGGCCGGGUAGCCGCGUGCGGCGCGGAUAACCGCUGAAGGCAUCUAAGCGGGAAGCCGUUCCAGGGAUUAGUUCUCCUUCCGGUAAGGGCCCAGGUAGACUACCUGGUCGAUAGACGGCAGGUGCAAGGGCGGCGACGUCCUCAGCCGAGCCGCACUAAUCGCCCGAGCUCUUCCGGA